UUCAUGAUCUUAGGCUAUAUGUAUCCCAAUAAAUAUGAAUAUAUACGGUUGGUUUUAACAAGUAUAACUAACAGAAAACUGAGCAGAACUUGUUUAUUUUAAACUCAAAACACUCAUCAUGAUAAUCUUGGCUUCAAUGCUCAGAUUAAUUAAUUAAUUAAUGAAAUAAUAGGAAAAACCAAACAUACAAGAGGCACAGAAAAAAUGGAACUGGAUUGCAUCUGGAUGACUGGAUUCACGAAUGACAAUCGUGCAAAAGCAUAUCAGAACUACAACGUCUCUUGCCACCUGAAUUGUCCUUAUUCCUUAAAACUAUUCAAUGACGCUACUUUUCCACCAAUGCCCACCCACUCCAGAGAUUCUUCUUUUCAUCAAAUGUUUUUUUUUUUUUUUUUUGGAUAUUUCCAAAUAAUUCAUUGCUUUAAAAUUGCAUUUUGUAUAUAUAUUAUGACAAUGCUGCCCUCUGUAGCACGCGACCAUCUUAGCAAAGGCCAAAGGGAAGGGAGGGGCAUCUUCUGUUUUUGAUUCCCUACGCCAUCUGUAAAGCAUUCCCUCAAAACCAGUAUAACUAUAAUGCCUUCAUUGCUAAGCUCUGUGCUCUCCUUCUCACUCACUCACUCUUACUCUCGUUAAUUUACAAUUGUCCGCCAGAGAUUAUAAUGGGGGUUGCAAAGCGGUCUCCGGUACUCUUAUUGAUAACGUUGGGCAUUGUUCAACUGUUUUUCUCUCACAGCACAGGGUCGAGGACUUUUGCCACUGAAAGCGAUCAGGUGAGACCUAAAUUACUCCAUCAGUAAGUAUAUCCAUCUGUGGUGAUUCGAUUUGUGCACGGUGAUGGUGCACACUAUUUUCUUUGUUUUAUGUGGAUAUUGUGAUUUGCAACGAAUAAAUGUAAGAAAUUUCGCACAGAUGGGACAUUGGCCAAUGUAAUUACUAAUUAUUAAUCAACCUGUGAAGGAGCUUUUGAGUCGCUUGAACAAGAUCCAGAAAACAUUGUGUUUUUCUUCAAGUAGGAAGCAGAUAGAGGGGAGGCUACAUGGUGCAUUGUGAAGCCUUCAACAGAAGGUGAGAAGCUUAGGCAGAACACUGAUUAUAGCUGCGACCAAAGUGGAGUGGACUGUAGGACCAUUCAACCAGGAGGCAGCUGCUUCAAUCCAGAUAACCCUGUCUCGCAUGCUUCAGUUGCCAUGAAUCUCUUCUACAAGGCAGCUGGGAAGCAUCCUUGGAACUGCCAUUUCGAUGGCACUGGUUUGAUCGUUUACCGGAACCCAUCUGUCGGAAAAUGUGACUAUCCGGCUUGAUGACGGAGCUCAAGGGCAAGGCGUCAAAUUUGUGGAAUUUAACAAAACAGCUGGUUUGGUUGUACUUAUAGACCAUUCAUAUUAUUAACUUAAAGGAUGAAUCUAGCAAACUUUGAGAGAGCUCUUUUGAAUAGAAACCUGAUGAGAAACUUUGGGACAAGGAAAUGUCACCAGCACUUUCUUUACAUUUGGAACUAUGCUUUACAUGGUGGUCAAACCGAUUAGUUCUACAUGGUUUACUCUAAAUUUUGAAAAGCUGCUUUUAUAUCAAUUCCCUUAUCUUUCCUUUCAACAAAACAAAGGUUCCCAGCGAUUGCGAAGAACUGCAGCCUACUCAUAUCAUAUUUGUCUAGUUCAGUGAUUGUGGAUUCAGGUUACAACACCAUACUCUUAAGAUGUGUUUGUGCAAAAGAAAGAGAGCGAGAGAGGGUUCUGCACUUAGAGACGUAAUUUUGAUGUCUAAACAAACGAGUCAUUUCGCUCCAAUCGGGGAGUGCAAGGGUGGGUGAGAUAUUAUGAGGAUUUGAUUCCUGAAAUGUCGUUAAAGUUGCUUUCAGCUUAUAGCAAUAGGACCGGACAAUGGAACAAGGCAAUCGUUUUUGAAAUUUGCUCUGAAUCUUUUGUGGACUUUGUCACCGUUUCUAGAUGCAAGAAUAGAUGCUUUUGUUCUGCCGUGUUUAACGGAUCUUUUCGAUUUCAUAGCAAAAAUAAAUGACGAAAUUAUAGGAUAAUGAAGGAAGAAUUAAAACAAAUAAUUCGUUUUUGACCAAAAAGAAACACAAGACUGGAUUUGCUGCUGCCCUGCUGCUCUAUUCUACAAGCAGUUACUAAUACACUACCAGUGCCAUAAACUUGGGCAAAAUUCUGUUCAUUACAGGACACUGACAAAUACAUCCAAUAAUAAUGAAAUAGAAAAAUAACCAAAAAUUAUAAAAAAAUAAAAUAAAAUAAAAUAAAAUAGG